rnacentral:lncRNA from 10 species
GAACACAGUGCCUGGUGAAACAGAGCCAGCCAGUGCUGAUGUGAGGCGACUCUGAGGCAGGAGGUCCAAGUUUGCUGGACAAUGGCAGAAACAGAAUUCAAACACCUGUCUUCUAGGAGAAGUUCUGGUCUCUCCUCGGUGCUGCGGCUGCCCCGGGAAGAGUUUCCAGGAGCUGACAAGCAUUCAGAUGAGUAAAGAUGGGAUCGGAUUGAGAAAAGGAGAAGGGAGAGCAUAUUCGUUCUCUUUCCACCUCCCUCCCACAGCCUUUCAUGCUGAUCUCAUCUGACGAAGCUGCCUCCUCCUCCCUGGACUCUACAAGCCCCUGUCAUGGUC